AGGUCUAUACUGGGCGCCCGCUGCGUGCCAGGUACUGCCACCGGCUCUCUCCUCACGGUGGAAUAACUUAACAGAGAAGACAGACAUCAAUCAAAUACCCUGGAAACGUGGAAGGCAGGGGAAAGAACAAAGGGAGAGCAAAAUCGCCCCAAUCCCACAUCACCCGCGACGUGAAAGGAUUUGUCCUUCCAGCUGCGGGACUCCUAUUUGUUUAUUUCAACCCCGCGCCAGCUCCAGGCACAGCCGUUCAGGGUGAUGCCAAAGGGAAAUGAGAACGCCUGGUUUCGAGUGCCAGCCUGAGGCCCCUUAAGCCCUAGCCUGGCUCCAAAAACUGCAGCCUGUUUCCCUCAACAAAAAUGACGUCAAGAAUACCUAGAUGUGACCACACCGAACUUGCUUGCCCGUUUUGGGAAACCCAACUUUCUUCCUGAAUAGUCAGAACCUCUGGCUUUCCUGGUCUCUUAAGAACCGCAAACUAUUGAAAAGCAGAUGCGUCUUUCAGCCUCUUUAAUAAAUGCAGUAAGGAGAGUUGGGACAGAGUUACUUUCAGACUGUGGGGCUCCCCCGUGCCAAAGCAUUCAGACGAAAUGUGGGGGAUAGCGGGGGGAAGGCAGGCAAUUAUCUGAAUGUUAAACAGCUGAAUAUUUGGAAACCCCAAUCUUUGGCUGAUUUUUAAAAACCUUUUUCACACGUGUUCUCAUGUUUAA
rnacentral:lncRNA from 10 species